rnacentral:rRNA from 1 species
AAACCGUUGAGAGGGAAGCGAAUGGAGUUAGCAAUCCGCUUGCCAGAUUCAGUUUCCGUCGCUUGCCGCGACGUUCGCGCUCUCGAUCUUCGUAGACGAGUCGCGACCGCGCACGACACGCCGGAGGCGCACUUCUGGCGGGCGAUUGUCACCGUCGGUCUCUGACGAACUAAGGGGUUGCAAGGAAGGUAAACCGGCCGCUGGCCGCUUGUUAAGCCUUGCGAACGUCCUGUCCGCCGGAGACCGGGGCAGGCGGCGCGCGCCUAUAAAUACGGCUGGUGUCCCGUCUUGCUGCUCGGUUGUCGACUGUGGCGGACGGCGCGCCUGUGCGUUCAACCGCAGCCGGACAGCAUUUCGGUGAUCAAACACUCCGCGCCUACGACGUUGACGAUCAUACGGCUCUAUCCGACCCGUCUUGAAACACGGACCAAGGAGUCUGACAUGUACGCGAGUCUUUGGGUGAACGAAACCCGUGGGCGAAAUGAAAGUGAAGGCAGUCUCGGCUGUCGAGGUGAGAAGCGCUCUCUUUGGGGGCGCCGCAUCAUCGACCGACCUAUUCUACUCUUAGGAAGGUUUGAGUAAGAGCGUAGCUGUUGGGACCCGAAAGAUGGUGAACUAUGCCUGAAUAGGGUGAAGCCAGCGGAAACACUGGUGGAAGCUCGUAGCGAUUCUGACGUGCAAAUCGAUCGUCGAAUUUGGGUAUAGCGGCGAAAGACUAAUCGAACCAUCUAGUAGCUGGUUCCCUCCGAAGUUUCUCUCAGGAUAGCUGGAGCUCGGUCGCAGUUU